rnacentral:rRNA from 1 species
AGCAGCCGCGGUAAUUCCAGCUCCAAUAGCGUAUAUUAAAGUUGUUGCAGUUAAAAAGCUCGUAGUUGAAUUUCGGGAUCAAUGCGUCGGUCGUGCUUUCGGGUACGUACUGGUGUCAUUGGUUUCUCCUUUCUGACGAGCCGUGAUGUCAUUAAUUUGGUGUUACGGGUAGUUAGGACUGUUACUUUGAAAAAAUUAGAGUGUUUAAAGCAGGCUUACGCUUGAAUACAUUAGCAUGGAAUAAUGAAGUAGGACGUUUGAUCCUAUUUUGUUGGUUUCUAGGAUUGACGUAAUGAUUAAUAGGGAUAGUUGGGGGCAUUAGUAUUCAAUUGUCAGAGGUGAAAUUCUUGGAUUUAUUGAAGACUAACUACUGCGAAAGCAUUUGCCAAGGAUGUUUUCAUUAAUCAAGAACGAAAGUUAGGGGAUCGAAGACGAUCAGAUACCGUCGUAGUCUUAACCAUAAACUAUGCCGACUAGGGAUCGGAUGAUGUUAAUUUUUUAAUGACUCAUUCGGCGCCUU